GCGUCGAUGGCAGAGCGGUCAAAUGCAUCAGACUGUAAAUCUGACGGACUACGUCCUACGUUGGUUCAAAUCCAACUCGGCGCACUA
rnacentral:tRNA from 2 species